UACGAAGGGGGCUAGCGUUGUUCGGAAUCACUGGGCGUAAAGCGCACGCAGGCGGAUGUGUCAGUCAGGGGGUGAAAAUCCCCGGAGCUCAAACUUCGGAACUGCCUUUGAUACAGCACGUCUUGAGUCCGAUAGAGGUGGGUGGAAUUCCUGGUGUAGCGGUGAAAUGCGCAGAUAUCAGGAGGAACACCAAUGGCGAAGGCAGCUCGCUGGAACGGU
rnacentral:rRNA from 1 species